rnacentral:lncRNA from 1 species
GUUGCACAACCUAGACUGGUAAGUAAUUCUAGAACCAGAACUAAAACUUGAAAUUAGGUUACUUAGUGCUUUUGGCAAAACAAACCCCUCAGCCAAGAAGCCUUGCAUGUCUAGUUGGAAGAGUAGUUGGCUCCUCCCCGGUUAAGUCUUGUUGAGCUUAGUAGCUCAGCCUUGUUGUGGCUCCUGUUUUUCAGGUGAAGUUGCAGUUCCCGACCCCUCCCUUGUUGGCGCUUGGCCGCCCCAGCUCCCGCCAGGCUGGACGGUCGAGUGGGACCCCUCCUCGGACGGCGAGGAGAGGACUCAGUGAUGUUCUGGUUGGCCUCGCCCGGACGUCCGACCCCGACGAAGUCUUCCGCUAGCUUUCUCUGUUG